UGGUUCUCGCAUNGAUGAAGAGCGCAGCGAAAUGCGAUACCUAGUGUGAAUUGCAGCCAUCGUGAAUCAUCGAGUUCUUGAACGCACAUUGCGCCCGCCGGUAUUCCGGCGGGCAUGCCUGUCUGAGCGUCGUUUCCUUCUUGGAGCGGUGCUUCAGACCUGGCGCGCGGGGGGAGCGGACCUUUUUUGGUCCGUGCCCGCGCGCCCAAAGCGAGGGGCCUUCUGCGCGAACUAGACUGUGCGCGCGGGGCGGCCGGCGAACUUUUUACCAAGCUCGACCUCAGAUCAGGCAGGAGUACCCGCUGA
rnacentral:misc_RNA from 1 species